CAUCAUCAGCCAACUUUAUCUUGAAUCUUAUUGAAACAGGACUGAGGAAAGUAAUUGAAAACCGAAGAAAACAUUAAGGAGACGCUCAAGGAAUAGUGGUCAAGAUGUUGAUCACCAUGCUAACAGCCAUGUAUGUGAUGGUCAGAGUCGUAGAAUCGAUAGGGGUACGUUUUGCACGGCAACAGGACCCUUUGCCUUACAUGGUGUCCCAGCCUUUGCCUUGGCAGGUUCACUCAGUGUCACACAGUCGGAGGAGCAGCAAAGUUGAUGAGGUU